UGUGAUUCAACCGGGUCCAGCUUCUCCUUUCUUCAGUGAUUGUCGGCAAUCAUGACGCGUUUAAGAGAAAAGUACAACAUGCAAAUAUGACAUGUUUAUUCUUGCAAACAUGCAAAUAUGAUGGCAAAUAUAAAGCAUACAAAGAAAAUAAAGCAAAAGGAGAUGCACAUUAGAGCACAAGGCCAGUUCCCUUCAGUUUCUCUUCCACAAUCCAAUCUAGCUUUCUCCCCAUCUCUUGGCUCAUGUGAUUAACCCAAUCCCCCACUUUCCCUUUCCUGAUGAACGCUGACUUCUCAACAAUUAGGUUGCCACGCCGGAUCAGGUCACCUGUCUGGUUGGUGUCCAAGCUGCUAAGCUUAUCAAAGCUGCACAACCUCACCACCUCCUCAGGUAUCCCGUCUUCUUCUUCCUUGUUACUGAAAGGGACACCGAGGAAUGUUGCAAGUCUGAUGACAUACUUCACUGGCUCUGACAUCAUAUCUUCAUACUUGAGAAAAAGAAUCCUGUUAGGGCAUGCGAUGCUCUCCCUCCUGUACUCAAGGCAAUGCUCCCAAAAAGGUCUGUAGUUUGUGAAACCUUCGGAAAACAUGUUGAAAGCAGCCUCAAAGUCAACGCUAUGUUCCCUAUGAACCAUUUUGUCGAAGUGCCACCAGGACACAAGGGCGUCCUUUGAAUCUCGACAAACGUACACAGUACGACAACCACAACUAGCUAAGGAAUCUGGGAACAACGAGAGAGGCAUAUGGGUGGCAAGAAGUCUUAGAGAUGGGAGUGUCUCUACAUAGGUCAUGUCACCAUCUCGAGGGAUCUCGAGGAAUGGCACCACCUCCUGGGGAUGACGGAAGAGAAGAGGGUGAUUGCCAAACUCAUACCGGAAGCGAUUGGUGAUUGUGAAGGCGAGAGCCUUGAUCCACGUGGUGCCACACUUGGGGUUCGUUGCGAGAACGAUGUCGUCGUGGCGAGGUUCGAAGGUGUUCUGGAGGUGCAUGAUGGUUGCAGCGAAACGUGGACGGAGCCGGUAGUUCUUGUAGAGCACCAAUGGCUGCGCCCACCCCUCCCUCGUCGGAAGUUUGGAUAGAGGAUCACCAGUACCGUGGCUAUUUGGCGCUUCCCUCCAUGCCGUGUGCCAUAGCUCAGCUGCUUUGGAGUGUUCUAACCUUAAAACUUUUUCUACUCUCCACAUAGAACACGUGGUAUUCCAUAUUAAAAUUUGGUAUAUUUCUGGAUCUGUUUUCUAUAUUUAAUUAAUUUAUUGCAUUUCUAGGAAUUUUUUUGGGAUAAGUCAAAUUUGAACCGCAAGUGAUUCACGUAAUAGAAUAAAAUAUGUGAAAAAUAAUAUUCAUGUUAUCGAGUCCAGUGUGAGGCCUUACCCGGGAAAUGAAAUUUUUUUUGAAUAUCUUAUUCAGAAAACACGACCACGAACGUGUGGUCGAAUGGUUUUUAAAUUCUAAAAAAAGCAAAUGAAGUCUGAAAAUCAUUAUAUUUGUCAUGAUGUGAUGAUAUCAUACAUGGAGGCUGUGGUAAAAAAUGAGAAGGUUUUGCAUAAUUUGUCACGUUCGAUGUUUACAAACCGAAGCAUCUCAAAAAAAAGAAUCAUAACGUUGAGAAGGAUUCGGCAAGAUGUGUAGUCAAAGUGACAGUCGAAUUGGGGUUUGACUUCAAAACUUUUUGUAUAGGCAAUAGAGAACAUAGAUUAUUUCAUGUGAAAUUUUGGUAAUUUUUUGGAUCCGUUUGAUAAUUUUAAUUUAUUAAGUGCAAUUAUACAAUUUUAAUUGAUAUAAAUUAAAUUUGAGCUGUAACUGCAUAAAUAUUCGUAGAAAAAUCAUAUAUAUAUAUAUAUAUAUAUUGUUGAGUCAAUUUGAUAAGGUAUUUUCAAAGUACAUCGGGAUAAGGAGGAAAACACGGUAUGGAAAAGAAGGAAAUGGGAAAAAAAAAGUUUGCCGAGUGCAGACACUUGGCAAAGAUAAGUUUGUCGAGUGCCGUGAUCCGAUACUCGGCAAACUUAGCUUUGCCAAGUGUCCUAGAUUCGACACUCGGCACCUUAUAAAAGUUACCCGACCACCGCCCCCUCCCUCCCACCCUACCCUUCUUCUCCCGACAUCGCUGCCCCCCUCCCCUCCCUCCCUCUCCUACCGGCGCUGCCCCUUCCCCUCCCUCCAUCUCCCGCCGGCGCCCCCUCCCUCUCCCGCCGGCGCCGCCCCCUCCCCUCCCAACGUCUCCCGCCGGCGCCCCCUCCCUCUCCCGCCACCCCCUCCCCUCCCUACGUCUCCCGCCGACGCCCCCUCCCUCUCCCGCCGACGCCACCCCCUCCACUCCCUCUUCCCCCAUCUCCCUCCCUCUCCCUCUUUUUUUUUUGCACAGGCGGUGGCGGCAGGCGUGGUGGCGACGGCGGCGUCGUGGUGGUGGCGGCGGCGUGGUGGUGGCGGUUAGGUUUUUUAUUAUAUUUUUCGAAAUAUUUUUUGCCGAGUGUCGAUUUAGCACUCAGCAACAUCUUUGCCGAGUGCUCGAUAAAAAGCACUCAGCAAAGAUAGCUUUGCUGAGGGGAACACUCGGAAAAACAUUUGCUAAGUAUUUUUUUGCCUUCGCCGUGUGCCGUGAAUGUUGGCUGAUUAGAAUCUAAAUAGAAAAGAUUAACACCUCUAAUUUUGAUGAUCCAGGUAUAUAAUAAGGAUUAAUUUGCGAGCACGAUUGAGCUAAUCUGUACUCCCUCCGUCCCAAAAUAAGUGUUCGUUUAGAAAAUUUUGGACACAUUAGUAGUUGUAAGAAGUGAUCAUGCUAUUUCUAAUUACUCAUAUUAAUCGUGGUUGAAAGCUGUGCAGUCUGUUUGAUUUUCUGGAUCCUGAAUACAUGUACGUGCAUUAGAACCAGAGAAAAAACAUCAAUUGAUUAUUUUAUUGGAUCUAUGCACUUCUCAGUACUUUUGUUUUUAUUAGUGUGAGUAUUGCUUUAAUUAGAUGAGUCUCGUUAGGAGCUAAAUGAACUUUCUUUGUGACCAAAUUUGAAAGAUAAACGAACACUUAUUUUGGGACAAAGGGUUUAAGCCGAUACUACUUAAAAAAGGAAGAUGGUUGGUGGCAUGUCACGUUCCUCUGUCCUUUUACCAUCGCAUGUUUGGCUCCCUAGCUUAACUUGUCACAUCGGAUGUUUGGAUACUAAUUAGAAGUAUUAAACAUAGUCUAAUUACAAAACUAAUUGCACAUAUGAAGCCUAAUUCGCGAGAUGAAUCUAUUAAGCCUAAUUAGUUCAUGACUUGACAAUGUGGUGCUACAGUAACAGUUUUCUAAUGAUGGAUUAAUUAGCCUUAAUAGAUUCAUCUCACAAAUUAGACUCCAUGUGUGCAAUUAGUUUUGUAAUUAGCUUAUAUUUAAUCCUCCUAAUUAGCAUCCGAACAUCUGAUGUAUCCGAACAUCUGAUGUGACCCUGCUAAACUUUAGCACCUCGUAUCGAAAUGCUCAUAAAUCGAUGAACUCUCGCACUGGCAGCGGCGGCUCCUCGUCGGCUUGCAGUUUCCCCUCUAUAUUCCGAAGGCACAACGUACCUUCGACGACGACGAAAACGCAGCAGCAAGCCAGCGAGGAGGAAUCCCAUGGGCCAUGGCCCCCAGGAUGAGCAGGACCACAGCCACCGCCCAGGCCGGCCGCCCAAUGAGCGCGGUAGAAGAGCAUCGAGAGGAUGCAGAAGGCGAUGAGCGCGCCAAGCAUGCACAGCAGCGGCGCGCAUCGACGGUCGGGAUCCGGCCUCGCGUCAACGACGACGCCGCCACCGCCGCCGCCGGGGUUCUCGAUGUCCGCCAUAGCAGCGAGCCUUUGGUGUUCAUUACUAGCUAGGGGGAAAAAGCCAGCGAGUCCAAUGCAAUCAACGUAGAGAGACCAUGAACAUAAAGAACAAGGAAGGCCAAAUUCCUUCAGUUUCUUCCAUUUCUUCACUCAUGUGAUUCAACCGGGUCCAGCUUCUCCUUUCUUCUGUGAUUGUCGGCAAUCAUGACGUGUUUAAGAGAAACGUAGAACAUGCAAAUAUGACAUUUUUAUUCUUGCAAACAUGCAAAUAUGAUGGCAAAUAUAAAGCAUACAAAGAAAAUAAAAGCAAAAGGCGAUGCACAUUAGAGCACAAGGCCAGUUCCCUUCAAUUUCUCUUCCACAAUGCAAUCUAGCUUUCUCCCCAUCUCUUGGCUCAUGUGAUUCACCCAAUCCCCCACCUUUCCUUUUCUGAACAACACUGACUUCUCAAUAAUUAGGUUGCCAAGCCGGACCAUAUCACCUGUCUGGUUGGUGUCCAAGCUGCUAAGCUUAUCAAAGCUGCACAACCUCACCACCUCCUCAGGUAUCCCGUCUUCUUCUUCCUUGAUACUGAAGGGGACACCGAGGAAUGUUGCAAGUCUAAUGACAUACUUCAUUGGCUCUGACAUCAUAUCUUCGUACUUGAGAAAAAGAAUCCUGUUAGGGCAUGGGAUGCUCUCCCUCCAGUACUCGAGGCAAUGCUCCCAAAAAGGUCCGUAGUUUGAGAAACCUUCGGAAAACAUGUUGACAGCAGCCUCAAAGUCAACACUACGUUCCCUAUGGACCUUACUCUCGAAGUGCCACCAGGACAAAGGGCGUCCUUUGGAUCUCGACAAACGUACACAGUACGACAACCACAAGUAGCUAAGGAAUCUGGGAACAACGAGAGGGGCAUAUGGGUGGCAAGAAGCCUUGGAGAUGGGAGUGUCUCUACAUAGGUCAUGUCACCAUCUCGAGGGAUCUCGAGGAAUGGCACCACCUCCUGGGGAUGACGGAAGAGAAGAGGGUGAUUGCCAAACUCAUACCGGGAGCGAUUGGUGAUUGCGAAGGCGAGAGCCUUGAUCCACGUGGUGCCACACUUGGGGUUCGUUGCGAGAACGAUGUCGUCGUGGCGAGCUUCGAAGGUGUUGUGGAGGCGCAUGAUGGUUGCAGCAAAACGUGGACGGAGCCAGUAGUUCUUGUAGAGCACCAAUGGCUGCGCCCACCCCUCCCUCGACGGAAGUUUGGAUAGAGGAUCAUCAGUACCGUGGCUAUUUGUGGCGCUUCCCUCCAUGGCUUGUGCCAUAGCUCAGCUGCUUUGGAGUGUUCUUGCGCGCUUUGCAGCUGGGACGAUGGAUUGGGUGGGUGCGUGUAGACCUGCGGAUUGAAUACAGAGAGCAGCUCUGAUGCUGGUGGCUAUCAAUGCUGUGCAAGUUACCAUAUAUAGGAUUAAAAUAUAAUCUCGUGAUUAGCGAGUAUGUUUUUAUAUUCCUAAAGAAAAACCAUGCUGCUUAUCUAGCUUCAACUAGCUACAUAGGAGGCCCCGCGGCACUACUAGCAGAAAUUUCGCUCAUCAAUAAAAAAGAAAGCAGCAAGUAGAAAUUCCAUUAAAGGAUCUGCAAUGGAUGACUUUGUUUGUUAAUUCAAACAAUCAAAACAUGACGUUAAAAUGUACAACAACAUAUAAGAAAAGUAAACCACAUGUACAUAAGAACAAGGAAGGCCAAAUCCCUUCAGUUUCUUCCAUUUCUUCACUCGUGUGAUUCAACCGGGUCCAGCUUCUCCUUUCUUCUGUUAUUGUCGGCAAUCAUGACGUGUUUAAGAGAAAAGUAUAACAUGCAAAUAUGGCAUGUUUAUUCUUGCAAACAUGCAAAUAUGGUGGCAAAUAUAAAGCAUACAAAGAAAAUAAAAGUAAAAGGACAUGCACAUUAAAGCACAAGGCCAGUUCCCUCCAGUUUCUCCUCCACAAUGCAAUCUAGUUUUCUCCCUAUCUCUUGGCUCAUGUGAUUCACCCAAUUCCCCACCUUCCCUUUCCUAAAGUAUGCCGACUUCUCAGUAAUUAGAUUGCCACGCCAGACCAGUUCACCUGUCUGGUUUGUGUCCAAGCUGCUAAGCUUAUCAAAGCUGCACAACCUCACCACCUCCUCAGGUAUCCCGUCUUCUUCUUCCUUGAUAUUGAAGGGGAAACCGAGGAAUGCUGCAAGUCUGAUGACAUACUUCACUGGCUCUAACAUCAUAUCUUCGUACUUGAGAAAAAGAAUCCUGUUAGGGCAUGCGAUGCUCUCCCUCCAGUACUCGAGGCAAUGCUCCCAAAAAGGUCCGUAGGAUGAGAAACCUUCGGAAAACAUGUUGACAGCAGCCUCAAAGUCAAUGCUACAUUCCCUAUGGAUCUUAUUCUCGAAGUGCCACCAGGACACAAGGGCGUCCUUUGGAUCUCGACAAACGUACACAGUACGACAACCACAAGUAGCUAAGGAAUCUGGGAACAACGAGAGGGGCAUAUGGGUGGCAAGAAGCCUUGGAGAUGGGAGUGUCUCUACAUAGGUCAUGUCACCAUCUCGAGGGAUCUCGAGGAACGGCACCACCUCCUGGGGAUGACGGAAGAGAAGAGGGUGAUUGCCAAACUCAUACCGGGAGCGAUUGGUGAUUGCGAAGGUGAGGGCCUUGAUCCACGUGGUGCCACACUUGGGGUUCGUUGCGAGAACGAUGUCGUCGUGGCGAGCUUCAAAGGUGUUCUGGAGGCGCAUGAUGGUUGCAGCGAAACGUGGACGGAGCCAGUAGUUCUUGUAGAGCACCAAUGGCUCCGACCACCCCUCCCUCGUUGGAAGUUUGGAUAGAGGAUCAUCAGUGCCGUGGCUAUUUGUGGCGCUUCCCUCCAUGACUUGUGCGCUCUACAUCUGGGACGAUGGAUUGGAUGGCUACUUGUAUAAGUCAUCCUCUGUCCUUUUGCCAUAAAAAAAGGCAGCCCUCGAUGGACGAUGUCAACGGACGGCGUCACCGGCGCCCCAUGUGCGUGGUCUCCUCCUCCAUGCACGAUGUCCGCAUGGUCGACUACGAGCACACGCAGGUUCGCAGGCAGGAUCGAUCAGAUCGAUGCGCCGACGCAGCUCAUCAGCUCCUCCACGUACGUACGGUCGCCGCCGGCUUUGUUCUUGCAUCCUCUCGCAAACUUCCUUCCUAUCCUGACAUGGGACGAAACGAAACACAUGAAGCAAAAAUGUUGCUCAAGCCUUACUGGUUGUGUUUCUCUAAAGCUCAAGGACAAAUAGAAUCGUAUCAUAUCACCUACCUUGCCUCUCCCGAAGAAGGCUGAUUUCUCGUAGACCACAUUGGGUCAUGGAUGGGGUUCUCAAUCACUACCGGAAACCGGGUGUUUGCCGAGUGCAAGAAUCUUUGCUGAGUGCAUUCUAUUGGGCACUUGGCAAAGAAGCUCUUUGCCGAGUGCUGCCAAAAAACACUCGGCAAAAGAACCAAAAAACACUGGGCAAAGCCUGGCACUCGGCAACCUAGAAAAAAAAUACUCGGCAAAGAUAGGCACUCGGCAAAGAAAUAUGUUUGCCGGGUGUAAUUAUUUAGCACUUGGCAAAUAAUUUCACUUUUUUUCUAUUAUGACCUUGAAACUUUUUCUACUCUCCACAUAAAACAUGUAGUAUUCCAUGUUAAAAUUUGGUAUAUUUCUGGAUCCGUUUGCUAUAUUUAAUUAGCUUAUUGCAUUUUUAGGAAUUUUUUGGUAUAAGUCAAAUUUGAACUGCAAAUGAUUCAAAUAAUAGAAUAAAAUGAGUAGAAAAAUUGAUAUUCAUGGUAUUGAGUCCAGUGUGAGGCCUUACCCAGGAAAUGAAAAGAAAUUUUGAACAUCUUGUUCAGAAAACAUGAUCACGAACGUUUGGCCAAAUGGUUUUUAAAUUCUAAAAAAAGCAAACGAAGUCUGAAAAUCAUGAGAUUUUUCAUGUGUGAUGAUAUCAUAGAUGGAGGUUGUGGUAAAAAAUUGAGAAGGUUUCGCAAAAUUUUUGUCACGUACGAUGUUUACAAAUCGAAGCAUCUCAGAAAAAAAAUCGUAGCGUUGAGAAGGAUUCGGUAAGAUUUGGAGUCAAAUUGACGGUCGAAUUGGGAUUUGACUUCAAAAUUUUUUGUAUAGGCAAUAGAGGACAUAGAUUAUUUCAUGUGAAAUUUUAGUAAUUUUUUUGGAUUCAUUUGAUAAUUUUAAUUUAUUAAGUGUAAUUAUAAAAUUUUAAUUGAUAUAAAUUAAAUUUGAACUGUAACUGCAUAAAAUAAUGGAGUAAUAUUCAUGGAAAAAUCAUAUAUAUAUAUAUAUAUUGUUGAGUCAAUUUGAUAAAGUAUUUUCAAAGGACAUCAGAAAAAAGAAGGAAAACACAGUAUGGAAAAGAAGAAAAUGGGAACCGAGUGCAGACACUCGGUAAAGAUAAUCUGACACUCGCUAAAUUAGCUUUGCCGAGUGUCCUAGAUUCGACACUUGGCACCUUAUAAAAGUCACCCGGCCGCCGCCCCCUUCCUCCCACCCUCCCCUCCCUCUCCCGGCGCCACCCCCCUCUCCCACCAGCGCCGCCCCCUCCCCUCCCUCUGUCUCCCGCCGGCGCCCCCUCCGUCUCCCGCUAGCACCACCCCCUCCCCUUCCUCUCCCGCCGGUGCCGCCCCCUCCCCUCCCUCUCCUAGCGCCACCCCCUCCCUCCCUCUCCCCCCGUCUCCCUCUUUUUUUUGCACAGGCGGUGGCGGCGGCAUUGUGGUGGCGGCGACGGCGUCAUGGUGGUCGCGGCGGGCGUGUUUUUAUAUUUUUUGAAAUAUUUUUUUGCCGAGUGUCGGUUUAGCACUCGGCAACGUCUUUGCCAAGUACUCGAAAAAAAAACACUCGGCAAAGACAGCUUUGCCGAGUCUCUGUUUGCUGAGUGCCGUUUGCUGAGUGGAACACUCAACAAAGACUUUGCCGAGUGUUUCUUUUUUGCCUUCGCCGUGUACCCACGGCACACGGCAAACCUGGGCAUUCUGGUAGUGAAUGUUGGCCAUGCAUGCAUCGUCCUGGCUAGGCUUAAUGACACCUACCCAUCGAGAUAAAUGGUGUCGAAUUUAUUUUCUGCUGAUUGGACUCUAAACACAAAAGAUUAACACCUCUAAUUUUGAUGACCCAAGUAUAUAAUAAGGAUUAAUUUCCGAGCACGAUUGAGCUAAUCUGUACUCCCUCAGUCCCAAAAUAUGUGUUCGUUUAGAAAAUUUUGGACAAUUAGUAGUUGUGAGAAGUGACCAUACUAUUCCUAAUUACUCAUAUUAGUUGUGGUUGAAAGCUGUCCAAUCUGUUUGAUUUUUUAGAUCUGAAUACAUGCACGUGCAUUGGAACAAGAGAAAAAACAUUAAUUGAUCAUUUCAUUAGAUCUAUGCACUUCUCAACACAUUGUUUUUAUUGGUGCGAGUGUUGUUUUAAUUAGAUGAGUCUUAUUUGAAGCUAAAUGAACUUUCUUUGUGUGACAAAAUUUGAAAGAUAAACGAACACUUAUUUUGGGAUAGAUCGGGACAGAGGGAGUAAGCCGAUACUUAAAAAAAGGAAGAUGGUUGGUGGCAUGUCACGUUCCUCUGUCCUUUUACCAUCAAACAAAGCAUUAUAUUAUUACAUGGAUCGAUGAACUCUCACACCGGCAGCGGCGGCUCCUCGUUGGCUUGCAGUUUCCCCUCUAUACUUCCGUAGACACAACCUUCGACGACGACGAAAAUGCAGCAGCAGCCAGCGAGGAGGAAUCCCAUGGGCCAUGGCCCCCAGGACGAGCAGGACCACAGCCACCACGCGAACGCCCAGGCCGGCCGCCCGAUGAGCGCGGUAGAAGAGCAUCGAGAGGACGCAGAAGGCGAUGAGCGCGCCAACCAUGCACAGCAGCGGCGCGCAUCGACGGUCGGGAUCCGGCCUCGCGUCAACGACGCCGCCGCCGCCGCCGGGGUUCUCGAUGUCCGCCAUAGCAGCUAGCCUUUGGUGUUCGUUACUAGCUAGGGGGAAAAAGCAAGCGAGCUCAAUGCAAUCAACGUAGAGAGUAUCAGCCCACGAAAAGGGCCCCACAAGCGAACGCACCGCAUACCGCCGUCCCGUGAGCGCUCGGACCCCACGCACGCCGGCGGCCGAUGCUCCGGUCCCCCGCGCGCGCCGGCUCUACCGCCGCCUCCCGCGGGCACACCGGCCUCACUGCCUCCACGUUGCACACGCCGUGGUCUGAGAAGCUGACUGAGGUUGAAGAAGAAGAAAAAUCCGAAAAUGUCGGCUCUUCUUUGAAAAAAAUGUUGAAUCCGGUUAUCCAAAAUGUUGAAGUAGGCAGAUAAAAAUGUUGAAUGUAGUUUUUUUCCUUAUGAAAUGUUGAUCUAGAAUAAAAAUGUCGAACCUGUUCAUUUUAGAUGUAGAUUAAACUGUUGAAAAAUGUUGAAACUAGUUUGUUAAAAUGUUGACUUAAACUUUUAAACGGGUCUAAUGGGCUUUACAACUAUGCUGCUUAUCUAGCUUCCACUAGCUACAUAGGAGGCCCCGCGGCACUACAAGCAGAAAUUUCGCUCAAUCAAAUAGAAAGCAGCAAGUAGAAGUUCCAUUAAAUAAUCAUGACUUUCGCAAUGGAUGACUUUGUUUAUUAAUUCAAACAAUCGAAACAUGACGUUAAAACAUACAACAACAUAUAAGUAAAGUAAACCACAUGAACAUAAAAAACCAGGAAGGCCAAAUCCCUUCAGUUUCUUCCAUUUCUUCACUCAUGUGAUUCAACCGGGUCCAGCUUCUCCUUUCUUCAGCGAUUGUCGGCAAUCAAGACGUGUUUAAGAGAAAAGUACAACAAGCAAAUGUGACAUGUUUAUUCUUGCAAACAUGCAAAUAUGAUGGCAAAUAUAAAGCAUACAAAGAAAAUAAAGCAAAAGGAGAUGCACAUUAGAGCACAAGGCCAGUUCCCUUCAGUUUUUCUUCCACAAUGCAGUCUAGCUUUCUCCCCAUCUCUUGGCUCAUGUGAUUCACCCAAUCCCCC
rnacentral:lncRNA from 1 species